rnacentral:rRNA from 1 species
CCUACGGGAGGCAGCAGUGAGGAAUAUUGGUCAAUGGGCGGAAGCCUGAACCAGCCAAGUAGCGUGCAGGAUGACGGCCCUACGGGUUGUAAACUUCUUUUAUACGGGAAUAACGCGCCUUACGUGUAGGGCUUUGCAUGUACCGGAUGAAUAAGGACCGGCUAAUUCCGUGCCAGCAGCCGCGGUAAUACGGAAGGUCCGGGCGUUAUCCGGAGUUAUUGGGUUUAAAGGGAGCGUAGGCCGCAUGUCAAGCGUGCUGUGAAAGGACCGGGCUCAACCCGGGCCUUGCAGGGGAAACUGGCGUGCUUGAGUCCGCGGAAAGCAGGCGGAAUGCGUCGUGUAGCGGUGAAAUGCUUAGAUAUGACGAAGAACCCCGAUUGCGAAGGCAGCUUGCUGCAGCGGAACUGACGCUGAUGCUCGAAAGCGCGGGUAUCGAACAGGAUUAGAUACCCGAGUAGUC